AGAUCCAGUGGCUUCUAUGCUACCACACAGCACCACGAUUCUCCAGAGGAUUUUGAGAACGGGAGCAGGGUGACCGUGCUUCAGGACUUGAUGGGUAGAAGAAGACGAGGGAGGAGGUAAAGGAAAUAAUGAAUUCACUCCACCCUUCCAGGCAGAAGGAAAAGUGCUAGUAAUCAGUCAGAUGCAAGAAGGUCAAAUUAACAAUAACAAAAGAACUUACCUUAUUAAAGCUGAACAAUAUAAUUCAAACCUAUGCACGGUUUUCUGGAUAUGUUUAAAAGGAAGACUAUGGGAAUGGGCUGGAGGAAUACCUUGUGUGGAUUGGCAACAGUUUUACUGCAUCUGGAUUCAGGUAUUUAUUGUUUAUUCAAGCAGUUCAAGAUCAUCAUAUAUAUGAGCUCUCCUCAAAGCAGGUCUAUCAAUUGCUUUCAGGAUAAAAAUGAUUCCAGCGUCCUAUGGAGAACUUACGUCAGAGUUAGAUGGCCUUGUGUUCUUCAUAGUUUUUGUAUUACAUACGGAUGAACAUGUUUUCCCAUGAGAACUAUCUACUCUGAACUUUGGCAAUGAAGAGGAAGAUAUGCUUGCAAUAUACACAUGUAGCACAUAGACUGAACUAUUAGUCCCUAAUAGAAUUGGGGACUGAACUGAAUUCACUUUUAGUUCCUUACAGUGUCAUUCUUUAUUUAUUCUCUGUUGCAAUUCUUUGGGUUUUCUCUUUGAACUCACCAUCAUUCCCAAACUGCAAUGGUGUUGUAACAUUUCCCCCCCCCAACACACACACACACACACACAUACACACACACACACAAAUACUCAUGUUCUUGGGACUCUUUGCAAGGAGACUUAUGCUUUGUGGCAUUUCUUGGAAUUAUCAUAUGACCACACCACAUUACAUGUCUCAUGAGAUAAAUGAGACAUCUUGGAAUCUCUGCUUCAUUGAUAGAUCAUUUUAACCAUCUGUUUUUAAUUCUUUCAUUUCCACACUGUCACCAGUUAAGGUUUGGAAGCUGAUCAUAUGUGACAAGGGCAUUCUGUAUGUGUAUAUAAUGCCUCUGAGAUAGACCCACAGACAUAUGCACGGAGGCAUUUAUAUUACAAUUAGAUAAAUGAGUUUGAUAUUCCGUCGUUACUCUUCUUUUCCCGUGUUUUAAAUAUAAUUAGGGGACAAAACAACACAGUUCUCAGUACCCCAACAAUUUGAAUUGAAAAGAAUUCAUCAAAAAACAACAAAUGUAAAUCAAUCUAACACAUCCAAAAAUAAAGCAUAUUCUAUGGGGCUGUGCAGCAAUUCAAAUUUGAAGAGGAAAAGGUGAUUUAGGACACACGUGAGCAUAUAAGGUCACAUCUGUUGGCACCUGCAUAAAUGAAACAUGGGUCUUCUUCGGAUUGUGCAGAGGCAGCUAUGCUGGCCAAGAAAAAGACACAACUUUAUGAAGUUGUCAGCGGAUAUGACAUGAGCAUUACCUCAUUUUGUCAGUCAUCUCUUCCCCUUCAGAUAUACGUAGCCAUAUUUAUACUAAGACUGUUCUCCACAUAUUUAUACUAAGAGUUCUCCACUCCUCUGAAUACAACAAAAUACCUUAUGCCACCAGACUUGAAAUCUUAGGUUUAGAAAAUUUAGAACUACGUCGCCUUCGACAUGACCUGAGUUUAACUCAUAGAAUCAUCUAUUACAAUGUCCUUCCUGUCAAAGACUACUUCAGCUUCAAUUACAACAAUACACGAGCACACAAUAGAUUUAAGCUUAAUGUUAACCGCUCCAAUCUUGAUUGCAGAAAAUAUGACUUCAGUAACAGAGUUGUUAAUGCUUGGAAUACACUACCUGACUCUGUGGUCUCUUCCCAAAAUCCCAAAAGUUUCAACCAAAAACUGUCUACUUUUGACCUCACCCCAUUCCUAAGAGGUCUGUAAGGGGCGUGCAU